UUCUUACCUUUUUUUACUCUAGAGGAGAAGCACUUGGCUGCAGCCAGGUGCGUGCUUUAAGGAAGCUUCUUGUUCUUAAAGCUGUUUUUCUAUUCUAGAGGAGAGGCACUGGGCUGCAGACAGGCUCACAAGCUUUAAAGAGUCUUCUUACCUUCUACUCUAGAGGAGAGGUGCUGCAGGCAGGCGUCCACACUUUUUCUCCCGGGCCUGCAUGCCAUACAUGCUCUUUCCAAGGCAUUUAAAGGAGGCAAAUUCUUAAAGCCAUUUCUUACUCAAGAGGAGAGAUGCUGCAAGCAGAGCACACACUUUCUCUCCUGGUCCUGCACUGCGCCAGCAGUCAAGCACUCUUUCCAAGGCAUUUUAAGGAGGCUUCCCACUUCAAGGAAUUCAGGCAUGAGGAGAACCAGAGUGUCCAAGAAGCAAAUGACGUGUGUACUACGAGGUCGUGAAGUAAGCUACCGCAAAGACCACUGGAUACUGUGGAGUCUUCAAAGGGAAAAGACUGACCAUUGAACAGCCCAUUGUGAAAAACUUGCACCAUACUUUGCAAAAUUCCAAGUUGGCUAAAGGAGGCAGUUAUGAAGCCGAUAUUAAAAAGGCCAUUCCUGAACUCUAGAAAAUCUUAUCCCCCUUAAGUUAAUGCACAUUGCCACAUUUAUGCCACAUUUAUCUCACACCUCUGCAACUAUCUGUGAUGCAGCAGCUGCUUUUCAAAGUUCCC
rnacentral:lncRNA from 11 species